rnacentral:tRNA from 1 species
GGUGGCUCUGUGGUAAAGCGCUUGCCUUGCAUGCAUGAGGCCCUGAGUUUGAUCCCUCAGCACCA